UACGUAGGGUGCAAGCGUUGUCCGGAAUUAUUGGGCGUAAAGAGCUCGUAGGCGGCUUGUCGCGUCGGAUGUGAAAGCCCGGGGCUUAACCCCGGGUCUGCAUUCGAUACGGGCAGGCUAGAGUUCGGUAGGGGAGAUCGGAAUUCCUGGUGUAGCGGUGGAAUGCGCAGAUAUCAGGAGGAACACCGGUGGCGAAGGCGGGUCUCUGGGCAGUAACUGACGCUGAGGAGCGAAAGCGUGGGGAGCGAACAGG
rnacentral:rRNA from 1 species